rnacentral:rRNA from 1 species
UACGUAGGCAGCGAGCGUUGUUCGGAGUUACUGGGCGUAAAGGGUGUGUAGGCGGUUGUUUUAAGUUUGGUGUGAAAUCUCCCGGCUCAACUGGGAGGGUGCGCCGAAUACUGAAUGACUAGAGUGCGGGAGAGGAUGUGGGAAUUCCUGGUGUAGCGGUGAAAUGCGUAGAUAUCAGGAGGAACACCGGUGGCGAAGGCGCACAUCUGGCCCGAUACUGACGCUGAGGCGCGAAAGCUAGGGGAGCAAACAGG